GCUUCAUUUUAGCUCUUGAUUCCUUGAACAUUAAUUUUUUAAAUUGAUAACAUUUUUAUAGAAAUUUAGUUCAUGAGCUUGGUGUGAUUGUGAUUAGAAUUAUAACAAAUGUUUGGAUUAAAAGCCUUUAUUUAUUAAAUUUAGCAGAUAGAGAACUAACUCAGUCUUUCAUGGUAACAGUUGCUAGAUCAUGGACAAUAAAAAAUUAUUUUAAAAAAUUCCCAAAAUGUCAUUUUAGUCAACAGUUACACACUUAUUUCUUUCCUGAACACCAUUUUAUCAGAUAAUAGCAAGUAGCAAAAUUUACUAUAUUGUCAUAUCAUUUUUCUCAUCCUGCCCAUUCCUCUGAUGGAGGGAGGGGCUAAUGAGUAGUGAAAUCACCGAAAAACAGGUUGCAGAAAGCAGAAAGAAAUAAUGCCAAAGACAUGGAGAAUCUGUAAAUCAAAUUAGAAACAAUAAACCUCAGAAAAAUGAACUUGAAAUUAUGGAGCUCAAUCAAUAACAAAUAAACUGAAAAUUAUAUUAAGACAAUGUAAUGAACCAACACAAUUUACAGAUGAAGCUUUGCUGGCUCGCCUGCCACCCACUUCUGUGCUGUGUGGCCAGUUACACAUUACACAUUUACAAUAAAUGUGUAAAUCCCAAUACAUUUACACAUUUAUUGUGUAAAUCCCAAUACAUUUACACAUUUAUUGUGUAAAUCCUAAGGUUAUAGAAAACCUAAACCUUAGGAUUUACACAAUAAAUGUGUAAAGAC
rnacentral:lncRNA from 1 species